UUGGCAGGAGAAAGAACUCUGUGUAAGCAGAGUUGGAUGUUUUUCAAAACUGUCAUCCCAAGUAGAUUUACAGUCACUGAGAGACUCAUCAUUAAAUUGAUCCAGUGACCUUAUAUUUGGAGUAUUCCCAAACUGGAGCUCUCAGCCUAAGGUAGACCAGCAUCAAAGAGCAAUUAAGGGUACCUGGCAGCUGGUGACAUUCAUUAGGCGGUCUUAGCUGAUAUGUGCCGAUCAUAGAGGCCUGGAACAAAAAGCUUACGGGUGAGGAUGUAUCUUUUGUCUGUUUCUCCAGCACCAAAUGUGCCUGCCGCAUUCUUCCUGAGGUACCAGGUCAAUAGAAGCCAAAAUUCCAGUUUGAGGUUUUGAAGCCUGGAACUAAGCUUUACUAUUUCCUGUGGUUUUGUUUCUCUGUGAAAAUAUGCCCGAAGUGGCCUGCUGAACAUGAUGAAUGCAGGAAGGAGAGUCGAGAUGCUCAGGCAUCCCAAUGGAGCUUGAUCUGGAUCAAUAGACCAACAUUUGGCACAUAGCCAAAAGAAUAAGCCUAGCCAAAAGCCAUACAGGCUUGCAGCAGAUCCCUAUCUGCCUCCUGGUGUGUGAGCAAUGACUACUUUUGUAUUAUGCCACUGAGGUUUUGUGUGUGCAGCAUUUUGGCAAAAUAUAAACUGAAAAAUAUAUUUGUAACACAACCUUCUCUUAUAGAGUGAAUACUUUUGGCCCCCAAUUUGUUUAUUAGUGUCCCGUGCUCCAGUGAGAUGAUAUUAAGGAGUUGGGGUUUUGAGAGAUACUUAUGUCAGGGGGAUUGGGCUCCCAGGAAUAGGAUUAAUGUCAUUAGAGGAAUAAGCUGGUGAAAAAUGAUGUUUUUAGUCACCAUUUCAGGUAAUAAAAAGUCAACACCAUCUGCACACUUGUAAAAUAACCCUUUUCAGAAACUGGAUGCAUUGGCAUCCUGACUUUGGGCUUCCAAGUAUUCUUGACUGUGAAAAAUGAGUGUUUAUAGUUUAAACUUCACGGUCUAUGAAAUAUUGUAAGCAACUGAAACUGGCCAAGACUUCAUCGGUAAAGAACUUCCAUCAUAGCAGAAGUCAAUGUAGUAUUCCAAUGUAGUAUUCUUAGGUAUUAGGAAGUCAAAGAGUUAAGUUUUGAUGGGAGAUUUCACCUUUAAACCUCCCUAUGACAUUGUGAGAAAGUAAUCAACAUUACUCAAUAGUUGGAUUAAUGGAUGUGUCUGUCCUUAUUUGUGGAUGUUCCUAAGAAAGAAAAUUCUAAAAGGGUAGGUUAUGCUUUUGAAUGUUUGUCGUCAUUGUGGUUUGUGGGUUUUUUUUCAACCUAGCUUAUCUCUGGUGACAAAAAUGCUUCUUUUGUUCAAGCAGUUAUCACUCUUUAAAGAAUGCUUACAAGAUCAUAUAACAUAGCAAUGCAGUUUUAAAAGAUUAAGUUGGGAAAAUCCUGUUCAGUGGAGAGCUUCUGGUUGGCUUGCUUGUCUAAUGGUUAUGUCCCACUUUUGGACUGUUUCAGAGAGUUACAAAGAGGAAGCCACCAUUGAUGGCAGGAUCAAAAUAGUCCCAACAGUGGCAUUGCCAUUUCAAAGUCACAUCUCUUCAAAGGGGAUGAAAGCAGAAACUGAACAAAAACUUCUUUCCUGGAGUUUAACCGUGCAAGGAUGGCAGGGAUGGAUCAGGCCGCUUACAGGCAGUCCUGACCCCUGUUUAUGGAUGUUCUCAAGAGUGCUCACAUUUAAUUGCUGCUGCUAGGCAAGGGGUUCAGAAUAAAUGCCUCUGUCAUGCAAGGGAUUGCUAUUCAGAGGAAUAAAAAUGCCUCCUUAACUUUC